rnacentral:tRNA from 1 species
GGGGGAAUGUCCCGAGCGGCAAAGGGGGCUGACUGUAAAUCAGCUGGCGUAAGCCUUCGUAGGUUCGAGUCCUACUUCCCCCA